rnacentral:tRNA from 1 species
GUGGCGGUGUGGGGCGGCCUGGAGGGCCUGGAUGUCCACGAGGCGUUCGCGCCGCUCACGUACGGCGACACGCCGGUGUGCGGGGCACCGACCACCGCG